AGAGUUUGAUCCUGGCUCAGAUUGAACGCUGGCGGCAUGCCUAACACAUGCAAGUCGAACGAGGGUAGCAAUACUCUAGUGGCGGACGGGUGAGGAAUACAUAGGAAUUUGCCCUUAAGUGGGGGAUAACCCGGGGAAACCCGGAUUAAUACCGCAUGAUCUCGAGAGAGCAAAGCAGGGGACCGCAAGGCCUUGCGCUUUUGGAGAAGCCUAUGUCGGAUUAGCUUGUUGGUGAGGUAAUGGCUCACCAAGGCCGCGAUCCGUAACUGGUCUGAGAGGAUGAUCAGUCACACCGGAACUGAGACACGGUCCGGACUCCUACGGGAGGCAGCAGUGGGGAAUAUUGGACAAUGGGCGAAAGCCUGAUCCAGCAAUGCCGCGUGUGUGAAGAAGGCCUUCGGGUUGUAAAGCACUUUAGGCUGGAAAGAAAAAACUUUCUCUAAUACAGGAAGUCUUGACGGUACCAGCAGAAUAAGCACCGGCUAACUCUGUGCCAGCAGCCGCGGUAAUACAGAGGGUGCAAGCGUUAAUCGGAUUUACUGGGCGUAAAGCGUGCGUAGGUGGCUAUUUAAGUCGGAUGUGAAAGCCCUGGGCUUAACCUGGGAACUGCAUUCGAUACUGGGUGGCUAGAGAUCGGUAGAGGGCAGCGGAAUUCCGGGUGUAGCGGUGAAAUGCGUAGAUAUCCGGAGGAACACCGAUGGCGAAGGCAACUGCCUGGGCCUGAUCUGACACUGAGGCACGAAAGCGUGGGUAGCAAACAGGAUUAG
rnacentral:rRNA from 1 species